UUGUUGCUAUCAAAGAGGCAUUUACAUUAUCGAAGCAGAAGUACAGACAUCUAAAAACUCAUAGUUUUCGUUAGAUAGCUUAUUUCACUUCUUUCUGGAUAAUUAGUGGUGUUAUCACAAUAUUUUUCCAUCCACUGUGUUAUUCCUUGUACGUAACAUCUUAACAUCAAAGGGCUCGACCUCAUUCCUCAUGUGACCUUGUCAAGCCAUGCCCAAAACCUGCUCAGACUGUGACACAUUACAGCAUCAGUUAGCGCAUGUUCUAGAGCAAUUAAACAGCGUACAAGCACAGUGUAAACGGUUCAAGGGAGAAAGGGACGCGUAUCACGAUUCCUGUGUUGCUUCACGGAUGGACGUCUUGAAAGACUGGAAUCUAUCGAAGCCUAUUCAUUACUGUUCAGCUUUAAACGGAUGAGCAUAGGAAAUAACACCACUGGUUUCAGGCAACAAAUUAUUCUUCGAUCAAAAAACAGCAGAUCACAGAGCUGAAGGACAAGGUGGCAUUGUAUCAGGAAACCAAUCAAAUGCUGUUCGAGAAGUGUGCACAUGCCAACGAUCUUGAAGACGAAAUCCGGCAGUUCUGCGUCCGCAGAGCAGUCCCGAAUGUAUGUCCACAAGACAAAGCUCCGCUCAACAGAUGGAACCAAAUUUAUUAGGAAAGUAUCCCAGUCGCGAAAUUGUUAUGAAGUGUCUAACUGAAUACAACGAAACUUUGGCCAAGGCGCGAUUCAAGUAUUA